UACGUAGGGGCUAGCGUUGUCCGGAAUCAUUGGGCGUAAAGCGCGUGUAGGCGGCCCGAUAAGUCCGCUGUGAAAGUCGGGGGCUCAACCCUCGGAUGCCGGUGGAUACUGUCGGGCUCGAGUACGGAAGAGGCGAGUGGAAUUCCUGGUGUAGCGGUGAAAUGCGCAGAUAUCAGGAGGAACACCAAUUGCGAAGGCAGCUCGCUGGGACGUUACUGACGCUGAGACGCGAAAGCGUGGGGAGCAAACAGG
rnacentral:rRNA from 1 species